GGACGACGCUGGCGGCGUGCUUAAUACAUGCAAGUCAACUUGACUUUAGAUAGCAAUAUCGAAAAGUAGGGUGGCGCACAGGUGCGUAACGCGUAGGUAAUCUGCCCUGAGGUCUGACAUAACCCGUCGAAAGGCGGGCUAACAUCAGAUGAUAUAUAAUCACGACAUCGUGGAAAUAUCAAAUCUUCGGAGCCUUGGGAUGAGCCUGCGUCUGAUUAGGUAGUUUGGCGGAGUAAUAGCCCACCAAGCCUACGAUCAGUAGCUGGUCUGAGAGGAUGAUCAGCCACACUGGAACUGAGACACGGUCCAGACUCCUACGGGAGGCAGCAGUAAGGAAUAUUGCUCAAUGGGGGAAACCCUGAAGCAGCAACGCCGCGUGAAGGAUGAAAUACUUUGUAUGUAAACUUCUGUAAGAUGGGAAAAAUAUUCUCCUCGGGAGAAUUGAUUGUACCAUCAGAGUAAGCCCCGGCUAACUACGUG
rnacentral:rRNA from 1 species